GGGGCGGGUCAGAGAGGCGGCCGGUGCGGGCGACGCCUUGGAACCCGCGGGCGGCAACUGCGGCCACAGGUGCGGAGCAGGGCAGUGUGUCCCAGCUCUAGGCAUCAGAGCUCUAGCGCUGGGAGUUGAGGCUUCCGAGCUGCUCACAACCCUGGACCCCGAGGCCCCCGGGCCGGAGAGCGGAGCCCUGGGGUCGUCCAAAGCACUGGGCCCUGAGCCCCCCGGGUCAAACCGCGAAAUUCCGGGGCCUACUGCUGAGCGGGACACCGAGGUCCCCAGGCCAGGCGGCGAGGUCCCCGUGUCUUCCCAAAACCAGUGCGCAGAGACCCCCAAGCAAGAGCGCGAAGUCUUCCAGCCAUCACCGGGGCAGGACGCAGCUGAGGGUUUUGUGAGUCCUGGGCCAGGCAGCGACGACCCUGAGCCGUCUGAAGUGCGAGGAGUGGGGCUCCUGGAUCAGUGUCCCUCUCAGGGUUGCGAGACAUACUCAGAGUCGGAAGCCCCCCAGCUGCGUUUUCUGCUGCACUCGGAGACCCCACAACAGCCCCGGGAGGAGCCGCUAAUGGAGACGCCCAUCGAGCGCGAAAUCCGCCGCAGCUGCGAACGCGAGGAGAGCCUGCGCCGGAGCCGGGGCCUGAGCCCAGGUCGCGCCGGCCGUGAACUCGUCGAACUGCGCGUGCGGCCGGUGCUCAGCCUGCCGGGCCCCGGCCCCGCGCUCCCGCGUGCCUUGGAGCGCGCUCGGGCGGGCGCGCAGAUGCAGCGAGACAUCGAGCGGGAGGCCCAUCGGCAGGCGGCGCUGGCACGCUCUGCGGUCCCGGAGCAGCGCACCCGGCCGCCGCCGCAGCCUCUGGGCGAGCUCAAGCGCUUCUUCGAGACUGCCGGCUGGUGCGGCUCCACGCCGGCGGCGGAGGGCAGCGCGGGCCAGCAGCGGCUGCCUGAGCCCGGAGGCCGGCCGCGCUCAGCCGUGCAGGGCCGGUGCCCGGUGCUGGCCCGCGCCCCGCCGCCUAUCGCGCCAUCGUUGCUGGAGCAGGAGGUGCGCGAGGCGAAUGAGCGCGAGCGGGAGCUGCAGCGCCAGCGGCUCAGUGUCUACGGCACCGCCGAGUUCAAGGAGCCCGCGCCCAGCCUCACCGGAUGAAAGCCUCUACGAGGAGGAGGGGGGGUGAACGCCUGUGUGUAUUUAAGGGGUGCGGUCGGUCUCCUUCGUCCUGGCCGCCUCCAGCUGGUGAGAGGAGGGGCAACCCUAGCUGAGCGUCCCUUCCCCCGCAGAGAGCAGGGGCGACGGAAAGCUGGCGGUGAUCUGGCCUCCCCGCAGAAAGGCUUCGGAGAACGGUCUGGAGCAGGAGGAGCGGAAGCCUUGAGGUUCGAACAGGCUGUGAUCCCCGGACAAAAGUAACAUGCUCAUCAGAGGACCGAGGCAGGGGCGCCCAGGAGUGCCCUCCCGAUCGUCAGGAAGCCUGGAGAGCUGCCAGAGGUCUGCGCCAGGGAAGAUGAAAUCGAUCAGCCUACCCAUCCUUGAACCUGACUUUGUAAAAUUGACCUGUAUCUUCUAUAAAACUGUUAGGCUCGGUUGGGAAACACCACCGCCAUAAUCCCCGCCAGGAAAACUGUUCAGCCCUUAUCCGUCUAAUUGGAAACGGAACUAGCCUCUCCUUCCUUGACUGUUAGAGGACCGGGGUCACCUCCCCCGCCGCCCCCCUCCCCAAUAAAGCCCUUCUCUCUGGGCAGUGCAGCA